ensembl:lncRNA
UGUUUCUGUGCCUGGUUUAUUUCACUUAAUGACCUCCAGUUCAUCUAUGUUGCUGCAAAUGACAGGAUCACAUUCUUUUUUAGGGCUGAGCAGUACCGUGUUGUGUAUUUGUACCACUUUUUCUUUAUGCAUUUAUCCAUUCCUCUAUCCGUUCGUGGAUACUUAGGUUGCUUCCAAAUCUUGGCUGCUGUGAAUAGUUCUGCAGUAAACAUGGGAGUGCAGAUAUCUCUGAUAUGCUGAUUUCCUUUCUUUUGAGUAUACACCCAGCAGUGGGAUUGCUGGAUCAUAUGGUAGCUUUAUUUUUAGUGUUUUUUUUUCCUUUGAGGAACCUCCAAACUGGUCUCCAUCAUGGUUGGACUAAUUUACAUUCCCACCAACAGCAUACAAGGAUUCUGCUUUCUUCGCAUUCUCACUAAGAUUUGUCAUGGCCUGUCUUUUGGAUAAAAGUUAUUUUAACUGGGAUGAGAUGAUAUCCCACUGUAGUUUUGAUUUGCAUUAAUCUGAUGAUCAGUGGCAUUGAGCACCUUUUCAUAUACUGUUUGCAAUUUGUAUGUCUUCUUUUGAGAAAUGUCUAUUCAGAUUUUUGCCCAAUUUUUAACUGAAUUGUUAAGUGUUUUUCUAUAGAUUUGUUUGAGCUCCUUAUAUAUUCUGGUUAUUAAUCGCUUGUCAGAUGGAUAUUUUGGAAAUAUUUUCUCCUAUUCUGUGGUUGUCACUUCACUUUGUUGAUUCUUCCCCUUGCUGUGCAGAAGCUUUUGAACUUGAUGUGAUCCCAUUUGUCCAUGGAAGAGUUCCAAUGUGUUCAGAGGUGGUCAAAUGCUGUAUAGCAGGACACAUUAACCAUAAGCAAUCUCCCCAUUUUUAACAGAUGAAGCUUAGCACAAGAGCAACAGCAAAAACUGUGAAAAAUAAGAUUAAAUUGUUGACGAAAUAAUUAGUGAACUAAAAAAGAAGAAAUUAUUCGAAAUAAACCAUGGAAAAUCAAAAAAGAUGCAAGAUACAGAAGAGAGGGAAGAGACACGAAGGAUACAGUAAGAAGUUCUAGAAUAUGCGUAAAUAGAAUCCUAUCAGGAGAGAAGACUGAGUAGGUGAAAAACAAUAUUUGAAAAGUUGAUGACUAAGAGAAUUUUCUAAAACUGAUGAUAAACAUACAGCCAGAGACUCAGGAAGUACUCCAAACACCAAGCAGGACAAACAAAAAAGAAUUUUCACCACAUCACAAUAAAAUGCAAGACAAAGAGAAAAAUACUAACAAGUGGCUGAGGGAAACGACUGAUUAUCUUCAAAAAAGCCACAAUUAGAUUGAAAGUUUAGUACCUAAUAUUAGAACUGGAAAUAGAAGUCAGAAGAAAAUGAAAUAGUGUAUGUAAAUACUAAAAUGAAAUAAUGGCAAAUCCAUAAUACUAUGUACUAUAAAGACAGUUAAUGUUUUCAGUCAAACAAAAACAAAAAACUUGUCAUACUAAAUAAAAUACUAAAAUCUGUGCUAAAUAAAAUACUAAAGAUGUUUUUUGGGAACAAUGAGAAUGAUUCCAAUAAAAGAUCAGGCAUAUAAGAAGCAAUUAAAAGCUACAAGUGAUCUUAGUAGGGUUCUCUUGGAAUAGGACCCAUCACUUCUUUGCUUAUCAGUCAUUCCUCUUUCCUCAUUUGUUGUGUAGGGUAGACAACGACCAAGUUCAUCUUUCUCAAACUCAUCCAGGAAAGCCUCCAUUAUACACUAAAAUGUAUAUCCAAGAAAAGUUUUGAGUCUCCAGAGUUCAAGGGCAGUUUCCUGUCAAAGACUUCAAAAAUAAGGAGUGACUUCCACAGGGGCAAGUCAAUGCCUCUGAAAUGUCAGUCCCAUAUUAUUGGACAGGAUCUGAGCAGCAAAGCUGUCUGCUUCCACAUGGCAUUAAUCUCCUUCCACCCCAGUGGGUCAAAUUGGUGAUGCCUAUGAGGCCACCAUGCCAUAUGCCAAACUUUUCAGUAAAAGUGUUGGUUUCUUAAGCAUCUAGCAAGAUCUGGCCUAAGGCAACUGUUUUUCAUCAUUCUGCAGCCCAGCAUCCAGUUCCAACUAUUACAGUUUAAAUUUCCCAUACUUGUUUUCCUCUGGGUUCAGUUUUUCAGUUUCUACCUGAACUUCUCAAAAUUUUCUGACUUUCUUUAGUUUAGUUUCACUUCCUCCACUUCCUGAAUCAGACUCACUUUCUGAACUCAAUCCACUAAUUCUACUUUUCCUACUCACACAUUAUCUUCUUUGUUUCCAAAAGGUAUUUGUAGCUCUGAUACUAGUCUUCGGUUGGAAGAAGCUAGUUAGGUAUCUAGUCACUCUAAAAAGCUAUCAGAUCACUCCUCACACAUGAGUCAGUUAUAUCUCUUUGACUUUGCAGGAAGUAAAAAAAAAAAUGAGCCCUUUGGGAGGCCAAGGCGGGUGGAUCACGAGGUCAAGAGAUCAAGACCACCCUGGUCAAUAUGGUGAAACCCCGUCUCUACCAAAAAUACAAAAAAUUAGCUGGGCAUGGUGAUGCGUGCCUGUAAUCCCAGCUACUCAGGAGGCUGAGGCAGGAGAAUUGCCUGAACCCAGGAGGCGGAGGUUGUGGUAAGCCGAGAUUGCACCAUCACACUCCAACCUGGGUAACAAGAGUGAAACUCUGUCUCAAAAAAAAAAAGAGCCCAAUAAACUUUAGAGUAUGGCUGAAGAUAUCAGUGGUGUGCACCUCUCCAGUAUAGUGAAGCCGUUGAGAAUUUAUCACACACCAUCCCUCAUUCCCAUCCUGGAGGGGUCAUCAAGAGGAUCUGGAGUUAGAACCUUUCUGGAUUUAGGGUCUUCCUCUAGUGUCUUCCCUGAGUUCUCCUAGGCUACCCUGAACAGCAGGGAGCUCUUCUAGGCUACCCUGAACAGCUGGGAGCUUCUCAGAUGGUAAAAUCAGGAUCUUGAAGCCAACAUCCAGUUUCAGUAGCUGGCUAGAAUGCUGGUGAAUACCAUGCUCUGAAGACAUGGCAGUCCUACCAGAAAUCUGCAAUCUCAUCUUUUUUUUUUUUUUAGAUUGUAAAAUGUAUUUAUUUUUUAUUCUUUUAUUUUUAAUUUUUGUGGGUACAUAGUAGGCUUAUAUAAUUAUGGGGCACAUAAGAUGUUUUCAUACAGGCAUGCAUGCAAUGCAUAAUAAUCACAUCAUGGAGAAUGGAGUAUCGAUCCCCUAAAGCAUUUAGCCUUUGGGUUAUAAACAAUCCAAUUAUACCCUUUUAGCUAUUUCAGAAUGUAAAAUUAAUUUAUUAUUGUCUAUGGUCACCCUGUUGUACUAUCAAAUAGUAAGUCUUAUUCAUUCUGGUUUUUGUUUUGUUUGCUUGUUUGGUACACAUUAACCAUCCCCACCAUCCUCCAACUCUACCCUCCUACUACCACUCCCAGCCUCUGAUAACCAUCUUUCUAACUCUCCAUUUCCAUGAGUUCAAUUGUUUUGAUUUUUAAAACCCACAAGUAAGUGAGAAUAUGUGAUGUUUGUCUUUACCUCCCU